GCAACGGAGCAAACACCAACAACACUCUCCCACAGCCCCUGUCUUGCAGUGUCUGGGAUUUGCUGCCAGUCCUUGCCUGAGCUCAAGGUUUCAUAUGGGUGAAACACCCUUUGCCAUGCCAGCUGGGGGGAGCUGACUGAGCCAGAGCAACUUCUGCCCUGCUCCAGCACCGAAGGGAGGACUCAGGGCAGGUCUGCAGAGCCCUGGAGGCUGUUUGGAACCACAGGCUGAUACUGAGAUCAAAUCCACUGUGACUCUGAAAGGAAAACUAGAAAAGUUUCAAGACAAGAAGGAUGUCUCUGCUUCUCAAUGAGCUGCUGCAAGUGGGAUGAAUAACCCGGAGAAGUUCUUCUCUUCCCUGAGUAUCCUUGUGACUGACCUGUG